GCAGUCGAACGGUAACAGGAAGCAGCUUGCUGCUUCGCUGACGAGUGGCGGACGGGUGAGUAAUGUCUGGGAAACUGCCCGAUGGAGGGGGAUAACUACUGGAAACGGUAGCUAAUACCGCAUAAUGUCGCAAGACCAAAGAGGGGGACCUUCGGGCCUCUUGCCAUCGGAUGUGCCCAGAUGGGAUUAGCUUGUUGGUGAGGUAACGGCUCACCAAGGCGACGAUCCCUAGCUGGUCUGAGAGGAUGACCAGCCACACUGGAACUGAAACACGGUCCAGACUCCUACGGGAGGCAGCAGUGGGGAAUAUUGCACAAUGGGCGCAAGCCUGAUGCAGCCAUGCCGCGUGUAUGAAGAAAGCCUUCGGGUUGUAAAGUACUUUCAGCGGGGAGGAAGGGGUUAAGGUUAAUAACCUUAGCCAUUGACGUUACCCGCAGAAGAAGCACCGGCUAACUCCGUGCCAGCAGCCGCGGUAAUACCGAAGGUGCAAGCGUUAAUCGGAAUUACUGGGCGUAAAGCGCACGCAGGCGGUCUGUCAAGUCGGAUGUGAAAUCCCCGGGCUCAACCUGGGAACUGCAUUCCAAACUGGCAGGCUUGAGUCUCGUAGAAGGGGGUAGAAUUCCAGGUGUAGCGGUGAAAUGCGUAGAGAUCUGGAGGAAUACCGGUGGC
rnacentral:rRNA from 1 species